UACGAGGGGGGCGAGCGUUGUUCGGAAUCAUUGGGCGUAAAGGGCGCGUAGGCGGUAUGGCAAGUGGAAGGUGAAAUCCCUCGGCUUAACCGAGGAACUGCCCUCCAAACUGCUUUACUUGAGGCCGGGAGAGGUGAGUGGAAUUCCCAGUGUAGCGGUGAAAUGCGUAGAUAUUGGGAGGAACACCGGUGGCGAAGGCGGAUCUCUGGGCCAUAACUGACGCUGAGGAGCGAAAGCAUGGGGAGCGAACAGG
rnacentral:rRNA from 1 species